rnacentral:rRNA from 1 species
UGCGUAGGCGGAUUUUUAAGUCAGUGGUGAAAGCCCGGAGCUCAACUUCGGAACUGCCAUUGAUACUAUUAAUCUUGAAUACAGUUGAGGUGGGCGGAAUGUGUAGUGUAGCGGUGAAAUGCUUAGAUAUUACACAGAACACCGAUUGCGAAGGCAGCUCGCUAAACUGUUAUUGACGCUAAGGCACGAAAGCGUGGGGAGCGAACAGGAUUAGAUACCCUGGUAGUCC